GGUUACGUUACUAAGGGCGCACGGUGGAUGCCUUGGCACUCGAACCGAUGAAGGACGUGGCUACCUGCGAUAAGCCUCGGUGAGCUGGACGCAAGCUUUGACCCGGGGAUGUCCGAAUGGGGAAACCCACGCGAGCGAACCUCGCGUACCCAUGCGUGAAUCCAUAGCGCAUGUGGAGGGAACCCAGGGAACUGAAACAUCUAAGUACCUGGAGGAAAAGAAAGAAACCUCGAUUCCCUUAGUAGUGGCGAACGAAAAGGGAUCAGCCCAAACCCCUUCCUUCGGGAGGGGGGGUUGUAGGACCGGCAACGUGGACCGGAACGUCUAGUCGAAGCGCACUGGAAAGGCGCGCCAGAGCGGGUGAUAGCCCCGUAGACGAAAGGCGAGAAGGCCUAGCCGGCACCUGAGUAGCGCGAGCCACGUGGAAUCUCGCGUGAAUCUACGGGGACCACCCCGUAAGGCUACAUAUUCCGAGUGACCGAUAGCGAACCAGUACCGUGAGGGAAAGGUGAAAAGCACCCCGUGAGGGGAGUGAAAUAGUACCUGAAACCGUGCGCUUACAAGCAGUCACAGCCCUAUGCCCGUCUUCGGACGGGAACGGGUGGUGGCGUGCCUCUUGAAGCAUGAUCCUGCGACUUACUGGUCGUGCCGAGUUUAAGCCGAUAGGCGGAGGCGUAGCGAAAGCGAGUCUGAACAGGGCGUUCAGGCGCGAUCAGUAGACCCGAAACCGGAUGAGCUAGCCAUGGCCAGGAUGAAGCUCCCGUAACAGGGAGUGGAGGUCCGAACCCGUUGAGGUUUAAAACUCUUGGGAUGAGCUGUGGUUAGGAGUGAAAAGCUAACCGAAUCCGGAGAUAGCUGGUUCUCCCCGAAAUAGCUUUAGGGCUAGCCUCGGGGGUUCACCAUCGGUUGUAAAGCACUGAUUGGGCUAGGGGGCUCACCAGCUUACCAAACCCUGUCAAACUCUGAAGGCCGAUGGUUCAAACCCCGGGAGUCAGACCGUGUGAGCUAACUUUCACGGUCGAGAGGGAAACAACCCAGACCGCCAGUUAAGGUCCCCAAGUCAUGGCUGAGUGGUGAAGGAUGUGGAGACGCUAAGACAGCUAGGAGGUUGGCUUAGAAGCAGCCAUUCCUUUAAAGAGUGCGUAAUAGCUCACUAGUCGAGCGUCUCUGCGCCGAAGAUGAUCGGGGCUAAGCCAUGCACCGACACUGCGGCAGUGCACCCAAGGUGUGCUGGGUAGGGGAGCGUUCCGUACGCCGUCGAAGCGGUACCGUAAGGAGCCGUGGAGGUAUCGGAAGUGCGAAUGCAGGAAUGAGUAACGAUAAGAAGGGUGAGAAUCCCUUCCGCCGAAAGCCCAAGGGUUCCUGAGCAAGGGUCGUCCCCUCAGGGUUAGUCGGGACCUAAGGCGAGGCCGAAAGGCGUAGUCGAUGGACAGCAGGUCAAUAUUCCUGCACCACGAUCGUGGAGCGAUGGGGCGACGCAUUAGGAUAGGCCAACCGGAGCCACGGCAGAGCCCGGCGGCGUGCGAAGCCAGGGAGGAUAGGAAAAUCCGCCUCCCGCGUUGGUGACGUACGUCGGGAAGGUCCUACGGGACUGAUAACUGGUCGAAUCCACGGUGCCAAGAAAACCCUCUAAGUGAUGAAGCGAUCGUGCCCGUACCAAAACCGACACAGGUGGGCGAGUGUAAGAGCACUAAGGCGCGCGAGAGAACUCUGGUUAAGGAACUCUGCAAAAUGGCCCCGUAACUUCGGGAGAAGGGGUCCCACGCGUAGGGUCUUCGUUCGCGAUGGCCCGAGGUGGGCACAGGAAAUCGGCUCCAGCGACUGUUUACCACAAUCACAGCUCUCUGCGAACCCGAGUAGGGGAUGUAUAGGGAGUGACACCUGCCCGGUGCCGGAAGGUUAAGUGGAGGCGUUCACGCGCCGAAAUGAAGCCCCGGUGAACGGCGGCGGUAACUAUAACCGUCCUAAGGUUAAUGGCUAGCCUUAGUCAAACCAAACUAUAUGCGGGAAACUCCUCCAAAACCGAUCGGUACUCGUCGGCGUACGCGCCGUCAGUCACAAUCCGACGGUCAUGGGGACAAUCCGCAGGGAAGACUUGACGAUGUCAAGAACCCUCAGAGACCAAACGUUUGGGAUCGACGGGUGAAUCUCGAGGCCCAGUGGGUCGUCGGGUUCACGGACGGUGAAGGACGUUUUCACGUCGGGAUCGAAACGCAUGCCGACGUGACGGACGGGGUUCAGGUCGAGCCUGAAUUCACGAUCGUCCAACACCCGGACGAUGUUCAGCUCCUCCACGCGCUGAAGGCGUACUUCGGGGUGGGCGUGGUUCGAACGAAUCACGACGCCCGAAUGGCCUAUCGCGUGCGCAAGCUCGAGCAUCUCCACGACGUCAUCUGUCCGUUCUUCAUGAAGCACACGCUUCGGACGCGAAAGCAGAUCGCUUUCCGCAAGUUCCGUCGCGUGGUCCUCAUGAUGACGGCGGGCGAGCACCUCCAUCCGG
rnacentral:rRNA from 1 species